CACUCCUGCGGGAGGCAGCAGUGGGGAAUAUUGCACAAUGGGCGCAAGCCUGAUGCAGCCAUGCCGCGUGUAUGAAGAAGGCCUUCGGGUUGUAAAGUACUUUCAGCGGGGAGGAAGGCGAUAAGGUUAAUAACCUUGUCGAUUGACGUUACCCGCAGAAGAAGCACCGGCUAACUCCGUGCCAGCAGCCGCGGUAAUACGGAGGGUGCAAGCGUUAAUCGGAAUUACUGGGCGUAAAGCGCACGCAGGCGGUCUGUCAAGUCGGAUGUGAAAUCCCCGGGCUCAACCUGGGAACUGCAUUCGAAACUGGCAGGCUAGAGUCUUGUAGAGGGGGGUAGAAUUCCAGGUGUAGCGGUGAAAUGCGUAGAGAUCUGGAGGAAUACCGGUGGCGAAGGCGGCCCCCUGGACAAAGACUGACGCUCAGGUGCGAAAGCGUGGGGAGCAAACAGGAUUAGAUACCCCUGUAGUCCC
rnacentral:rRNA from 1 species